AUUAGAUGUGAAAAUGAAUAAAACAAUGCUGUGCAGUCAUCUCUGUAGUACUGAACUCAGUACUAAAUUCAAUAUUUUCAUUAUAUCUCAUCAUUGUUUUUGUCGGUUUUCAGCUGGGUGCAAAUCUGUACAGGACAGCUUCUGAACAGGGACCUUGGACAUGCUGAGCGAAAGAGCUCCCAAGGACGCUUCAGCCUUUUCACCUUAUGCAUUCAUUACAACAUGUAGAUCCUUGAUCCCCAAAUCAAUUUUCUGCACCUGUUCCACCCAGGCUGCCUAUCUUCUGCUGUCUCCACUCACCAUCUCUUGUGCUCAUCCAGAGAGAGGUCCACAGAGAAAUGCACACGUGCAGUCUCAUAAAGCACAAGUGGUGUCAUCGGAGUUCUCCUGGAUCAAAACCAAGAAAUGAGAAGAAGCUCAGAGACAAGCAUGAUAUCCCCAAAGCCUUUUUUCUGCCUCCGAGUGACAAACUGAAAAGGCUGUUCCCAUUUGCAGAGAAGACCUUCGCUUUAGAGUUACAAUCUUACGUUGUACCCAGGCUUCUGUUGUUCCAGGAGUCUUGGACAAAGUGAUGCUGAUAUGAACUAAUUGAUACCAACUGGAAUCAGUCAGUCUCAGUCUUGGUCAACCUACCCAGGCCAAAAUGUCUGGAAACCCAUUUCCAAGCAUGCAGAUACGCUGCAGAUUCAUUCCACCGCCCUUUGCAAUUACUUGAAAUUAAAGAGUUGUGCUUAAAACUGCAUUCAAAUCUACGUACCCCUAAAAAGAAUCAGACAUAUGCUAGGCAGACACGCAGAAAACAGAAAGUCUACUUGCAACACAAAAUUAGGAGAGACUCAACGGACUUGUUUUGAUUUCCUCUGUGAGAUUCAAGUAUAACCAAGCUCAAAACACGAAGUAAAAUUUCUAAUUCAUUGAAACUAAUACGAAGAAAAAAUUGUUUGCCUAAAAGCUUCUAAAAUGGGACUGGAGAAUUCUUCACAUGGAAGAAAUGUACAAAAGCUCUAUGAACAUGUUUUCUCUUUUCAAAAGCUGUUUUCUAAAUGUCAGUUUUAUCGCCUUUUUUUUAAACCAUUUAUGACCAUAUGUGUUUUUAUGAUAUUCACAACAUGCUUGUGCCACACAAGAUGCAAGUGUAAUUUCCUGUUAUAAUGGCACAAUAUGCAUAGCAACAAAUGAGAAAUGAAUGACACAAAAU
rnacentral:lncRNA from 7 species